CCCACGGGGGGCAGCAGUGAGGAAUAUUGGUCAAUGGGCUUACGCCUGAACCAGCCAAGUCGCGUGAGGGAAGACUGCCCUAUGGGUUGUAAACCUCUUUUGUCAGGGAGCAACGCCGGCUACGUGUAGCCGGACUGAGAGUACCUGAAGAUAAAGCAUCGGCUAACCGCGUGCCAGCAGCCGCGGUAAUACGGAGGAUGCGAGCGUUAUCCGGAUUUAUUGGGUUUAAGGGGUGCGUAGGGGGAAAGCCAAGUAAGGGGUAAAAUUGGGGGGCUCAACCUCGCUCCGCCGUUGAAACUGGCGUUCUUGAGUAGGCGAGAAGUAUGCGGAAUGCGUGGUGUAGCGGUGAAAUGCAUAGAUAUCACGCAGAACUCCGAUUGCGAAGGCAGCAUACCGGCGCCCAACUGACGCUGAAGCACGAAAGCGUGGGUAUCGAACAGGAUUAGAUACCCGAGUAGUC
rnacentral:rRNA from 1 species